rfam:Vigna angularis cultivar Jingnong 6 chromosome 11, whole genome shotgun sequence.
AUCUGAUGGUGUGGGCAGCUGGCACAAAGCUUGUUAAACCUCUCCUAGUACUCGUACAAGAUCUCUUCAUUGAGCUGCGUAAUCCCAGAAAUAUCCUUUCUUAUGGU